rnacentral:rRNA from 1 species
GAUGAACGCUAGCGGCAGGCCUAACACAUGCAAGUCGAGGGGUAGCAGGAUUAAGCUUGCUUAAUUGCUGACGACCGGCGCACGGGUGCGUAACGCGUAUGCAACCUACCUUAUACUGGGGUAUAGCCCGGAGAAACUCGGAUUAAUCCCCCAUAGUACUAAUGAAUCGCAUGGUUUAUUAGUUAAAGCAUUGCGGUAUAAGAUGGGCAUGCGUCCUAUUAGCUAGAUGGUGAGGUAGCGGCUCACCAUGGCUACGAUAGGUAGGGGGCCUGAGAGGGUGGUCCCCCACACUGGUACUGGGACACGGACCAGACUCCUACGGGAGGCAGCAGUGAGGAAUAUUGGUCAAUGGGCGCAAGCCUGAACCAGCCAUGCCGCGUGCAGGAAGAAUGCCCUAUGGGUUGUAAACUGCUUUUAUUUGGGAAUAAACCUCUUUACGUGUAGAGAGCUGAAGGUACCAAAUGAAUAAGCACCGGCUAACUCCGUGCCAGCCGCCGCCGUAA